rnacentral:tRNA from 1 species
GGCGCGUUGGCGGGGGUGAUUACCGUCGGCGCGAUCGCGGCCGCGCUGGCGGUGGCCGGUCUGCUGGCCACCACCCGUUCGGCACGAACGGGCACCGC